GAUGAACGCUGGCGGCGUGCCUAAUACAUGCAAGUCGAGCGAACGGACGAGAAGCUUGCUUCUCUGAUGUUAGCGGCGGACGGGUGAGUAACACGUGGAUAACCUACCUAUAAGACUGGGAUAACUUCGGGAAACCGGAGCCAAUACCGGAUGAUAUUUUGAACCGCAUGGUUCAAAAGUGAAAGACGGUCUUGCUGUCACUUAUAGAUGGAUCCGCGCUGCAUUAGCUAGUUGGUAAGGUAACGGCUUACCAAGGCAACGAUGCAUAGCCGACCUGAGAGGGUGAUCAGCCACACUGGAACUGAGACACGGUCCAGACUCCUACGGGAGGCAGCAGUAGGGAAUCUUCCGCAAUGGGCGAAAGCCUGACGGAGCAACGCCGCGUGAGUGAUGAAGGUCUUCGGAUCGUAAAACUCUGUUAUUAGGGAAGAACAUAUGUGUAAGUAACUGUGCACAUCUUGACAGUACCUAAUCAGAAAGCCACGGCUAACUACGUG
rnacentral:rRNA from 1 species